AUUGAACGCUGGCGGAAUGCUUUACACAUGCAAGUCGAACGGUAGAGGGGGCAACCCCUCGAGGGUGGCGAACGGGUGAGUAAUAUAUCGGAACGUGCCCAGUCGUGGGGGAUAACGUAGCGAAAGUUACGCUAAUACCGCAUACGAUCUAAGGAUGAAAGCGGGGGAUCGCAAGACCUCGCGCGAUUGGAGCGGCCGAUAUCAGAUUAGGUAGUUGGUGGGGUAAAGGCUCACCAAGCCAACGAUCUGUAGCUGGUCUGAGAGGACGACCCGCCACACGUGAACUGCGACACGGUCCAUACUCCUACGGGAGGCAGCAGUUGGGAAUUUUUGACAAUGGCCGCAAGUCUGAUCCAGCCAUUCCGCGUGCAGGAUGAAGGCCCUCGGGUUGUAAACUGCUUUUGUACGGAACGAAAAGGUCUCUCUUAAUACGGGGGACUCAUGACGGUACCGUAAGAAUAAGCACCGGCUAACUACGUGCCAGCCGCCGCCGUAAUAC
rnacentral:rRNA from 1 species